CAUUAAUGUUCAGUGCAGAGCACACAAGGUGUUUGUGGAAAUGCCUCUCUGAGAAUCAAUCGCCGAAAUACAAGAAAAAAGAAAGAAAAGACAUAAAAGCUACCUAUCACGAGGGUGAGCAGCUGAAUCAACUACCAAUAGCCAAUCACAAGCUGCUGAGGAUGUGUUGCUUCUCCAUUCAAAAUCCAUAUGCUUUUCGACAGGAUAGAGGUGUUGGGGAAGUUGAUUACAAAGAGGAAGAGGAGAAUAGCUCAUUUUUCUCCUUUGUAUCAUUUCUUUGUAUAUGACUCUGAUAUUUAAUAGCGUUUCAAUUCAUUUUUAGUGCUUUUCUUGA